CACAGUCCACAGCAGGAAUCUGCUCAGCAGCAGAGCCUUGGGACCUGCUUCAGUAAAUAGAGGUUCUGUUGGAGGCAAGAGGGAGAAAAGGGGCCCCAGCAUCAAACCACCUUGACCGAUCCAUCAUCGUCAACCUGUUCCAUCAUAGAGCUUGUAAAAGGGAGAGUGUGAGGGAGACCAGUGCUACCAGUCAGCUGGUAAAGUGUGUCCAGCCAGGGUGGAAUUACCAGGUGGAACAAGUCAUUAUGAGUCCAUGGACAUAAAGGACACCAUUUCACAGCAGUCCAGUGCCUGGUCUCCUGGGACACCCGUGUGAUGUAUGCCUAUUGCUGCCAUGGUUUUCUAAACAUACAGGUUUGCUUUGUUUCCCUCUAUCAAGUAUGUUAUCCAUCAUUCCCAGACACACCUGCCAUGUGUAGCAAAGGUGAAAAUGAAGCAUCUCCACAAUGGUUGUUUUCAGCAAUGGGACAGUGCUGAGCACUCUGUGGGCAGGAGGAUCCUGUGCUGUCACAUGGAUGGGUUAUCCCGGAGCUCAUUUUGGAGCUUCCCCUGUGAACGUUACUGUUGGCUCAGGAUGUUUGUCAUGCAAAAUAGAACAUGAAAAGAUCUCAGCCAUCAGGAAGUUUAGGAGGAACUGUUCUGCUGACAGAGGCUUUUGUUAGGAGUGUCCUGUGAGGAGACAGGUCUGAGGGCAUCGAGCCUGUAAGAGAGCAAAAGGUGUCUGUUCAGGUGUAUCUACCUCAAGCUGAGCAGCAGAAGAGCGGAGGUGCUGUCCCGCCGAGCAGGCCGGGUGUCGUGGCUGGUGUGUUUGGCGGUUGUCGGUGGCACCUGCACGUCAGUUGAAGAUGAAACAGAAACUGUGUGUAAAGAACAGAAGGUGACCAGCGAAGGGAGCAGAGGAGAGGAGGAAAGCAACACAGACAAAACACGUGCAGAGCAGUUCUCUCGUCACACCUGCAGGCUGCUGGAUUGCCCUGAGAGCGGGAGCUCUGUCGUCCCGGCGGUGGCCUGGGCUGGGGUGCAGUGGGUGCUGGGCAAGGCCUGCACAGUGGUGUGGUCUGCUUUGUCACCUUCCCCUGCUCCCAGGCUGGGAUGAGCCCUUCUUGGCUCCCUGAAGCUGCACUGUGGCCACCCAGCCUGGAAAAAGUUUUUACAUGUGGCCAGAUUAUUUUGUGGACCAGUGCUGCUGCUUUCAGUGGGCUUACACAAGGAAUAAACUAAAACUAAGAGAA